rnacentral:rRNA from 1 species
UGAGUAACACGUAUGCAAUCCAUCUGUAACAGGGGGAUAACCCGGAGAAAUCCGGACUAAUACCCCAUAAUAUGGGCGCUCCGCAUGGAGAGCCCAUUAAAGAGAGCAAUUUUGGUUACAGACGAGCAUGCGCUCCAUUAGCCAGUUGGCGGGGUAACGGCCCACCAAAGCGACGAUGGAUAGGGGUUCUGAGAGGAAGGUCCCCCACAUUGGUACUGAGACACGGACCAA